UACAGAGGUCUCAAGCGUUGUUCGGAUUCAUUGGGCGUAAAGGGUGCGUAGGUGGCGCGCUAAGUCAGGUGUGAAAUCUCGGGGCUUAACUCCGAAACUGCAUUUGAUACUGGCGUGCUUGAGGACUGGAGAGGAGACUGGAAUUCAUGGUGUAGCAGUGAAAUGCGUAGAGAUCAUGAGGAAGACCAGUGGCGAAGGCGGGUCUCUGGACAGUUCCUGACACUGAGGCACGAAGGCCAGGGGAGCAAACGG
rnacentral:rRNA from 1 species